UUUGGUUCUCAGAGGUUGUUUUUAAAAAGUGUUUACUUCUUGGGUUCCCUGUGGUUUUGCCCACAAUGCAUUGUUCAAACAACGUGCUAGGUCACUUUCCCGGCAAGAUGGCUUCCAACAAUCAGGGAAACGACAGUGGCUCAAAUUCUGGUAGGAUUGACGUUGACAACCCUCCUUUCUCGAGAGUUUUUGUGGUAUGUAGUAAGAGACAUACAUCAGACGAUAUGAGAAUAGCUUUUGAGCCGUAUGGUGUGAUUGAAGACAUUUGGAUGGUUAAAGACAAAGUGACUAAAGAAAACAGAGGUGUCUGCUACAUAAAGUUCGAGAAAGCUUCUUCGGCUGCUCUUGCAUGUGAAGAAAUGGAUUGCAAACAAAUUGGAGACGACCCCAAAGUAAUUAAGGCAAUGAUUGCUCAAUCAAAGCAUUCAGGCUCUAAAAUGGACUUCCAUGAUCCUACCACAAUGACAAGAUUGUUUGUCAUCUGUCCCAAAGACUACACUGAUGAUGACUUGAGAUCCAAGUUUGAAAACUUUGGUGAUUUAGAAUAUGUUCAGAUUGUGCGUGAUCAUCAGACAAGGGAGAAUAAAGGUUAUGGUUAUGUGAAGUUUUCUAAAGCAUCUACUGCAUCUUUGGCUUUAGAGAAUUGUGACAAAGGACUGAAAGCUGUUUGGGCAGAGCCAAAAUCAGCCAAAGUUGCUAGAUAUGCUGCUGCUGCAUCUUCAGUGGCACAGGCUUAUGCACCUCAAAAUCCAUUCUUGGACCAAACAGGGAUCUUCUCAGCAGCCAUUCCACAAGCUCAGCCAACCCUUCACCAGCCUAUGGAGUUUUUUACUAGUCAAACAGCAAGUAACCCAACAGCAUCUGUAGCAGAAACAAUCACAUCGUCACACACACCUACAAGAUUAUUUGUAAUUGUGUCAGUAUCCUUGACUCAAGACCAAGUAGCCCGUCUGUUUGACAUCAUACCAGGAAUGCAGAUGUGUGAUCUGAAACGCAAUCACAAAACAGGUGAAUCAAAGGGCUUUGCAUAUGUUACAUACAAUUCUGUUGGAUCUGCUAUCUAUGCAAAGGAAAAGUUGAAUGGCUUUGAGUAUCCUCCAGGCUCUAAGCUUGUCAUCAAAUAUGCUGAGGAUCCACCCUCAAGUCGUAACAACUCUGAGUCAAGUUCAUCUAACAAUAUCUUUGGUUCCAAAUCAUCAAUUCCUGGAGCCAGUACAGCCUUUACUCUUGAUAGCAGCCAAGUUUAUACUACAGCAGGACUUCCGGCACCUGCACCACUUGCUGAUCCUAACUCUGAGGUAGUAUCACGAUUGUUUAUUGUGUGCAAUCCAGCACCACCGCCUGAUCCCGUCCUCAAGGAUGUUUUCAGUAGAUUUGGUAAUCUAAUUGAUGUGUAUAUGAUGAAAGACAGGAACUUUGGAUAUGCAAAGUUUGCAUCAAAAGAUUCUGCUGAUGUCGCAAUUGAAGGACUUCACGGUCAUGAGGUGUUGGGAAUGAAACUCAAAGUUAUGCAUGCAGACCCUCCUAAACACGAGUCUUCACGCAAGAGACCACGCACCUAAUUCUCACAAUACAGUCCCAAGGUGAAACACUGUAUAUUGCAUCGCCAACAAGAACUGCAGUUAUUUUGCAGGUCAAGAACUGGAUGCAUGGAGACAUCUCCUCGAGGACAUGAUAUUUGUUGAAUUUGUCCUAGAAUAUUAACCACUAUUUUAUUAAUAAAUCCAUAUUUCUGAAAAGAGUGUCUUGUUUGUUUUU
rnacentral:misc_RNA from 1 species